rnacentral:rRNA from 1 species
ACGGGUGAGUAAUGCCUAGGAAAUUGCCUUGAUGUGGGGGAUAACCAUUGGAAACGAUGGCUAAUACCGCAUAAUGCCUACGGGCCAAAGAGGGGGACCUUCGGGCCUCUCGCGUCAAGAUAUGCCUAGGUGGGAUUAGCUAGUUGGUGAGGUAAUGGCUCACCNAGGCGACGAUCCCUANCUGGUCUGAGAGGAUGAUCAGCCACACUGGAACUGANACNCGGUCCAGACUCCUACGGGAGGCAGCAGUGGGGAAUAUUGCACAAUGGGCGAAAGCCUGAUGCAGCCAUGCCGCGUGUAUGAAGAAGGCCUUCGGGUUGUAAAGUACUUUCAGUUGUGAGGAAGGGGGUGNANNUAAUANCUGCAUCUCUUGACGUUAGCAACNNAAGAAGCACCGGCUAACUCCGUGCCAGCAGCCGCGGUAAUACGGAGGGUGCGAGCGUUAAUCGGAAUUACUGGGCGUAAAGCGCAUGCAGGUGGUUCAUUAAGUCAGAUGUGAAAGCCCGGGGCUCAACCUCGGAACUGCAUUUGAAACUGGUGAACUAGAGUACUGUAGAGGGGGGUAGAAUUUCAGGUGUAGCGGUGAAAUGCGUAGAGAUCUGAAAGGAAUACCAGUGNCGAANNNGGCCCCCUGGACAGAUACUGACACUCANAUGCNAANGCGNGGGGAGCAAACAGNANUAGAUACCCUGG